rnacentral:rRNA from 1 species
UAGGGAAUCUUCGGCAAUGGACGGAAGUCUGACCGAGCAACGCCGCGUGAGUGAAGAAGGUUUUCGGAUCGUAAAGCUCUGUUGUUAGAGAAGAACGUUGGUAGGAGUGGAAAAUCUACCAAGUGACGGUAACUAACCAGAAAGGGACGGCUAACUACGUGCCAGCAGCCGCGGUAAUACGUAGGUCCCGAGCGUUGUCCGGAUUUAUUGGGCGUAAAGCGAGCGCAGGCGGUUCUUUAAGUCUGAAGUUAAAGGCAGUGGCUUAACCAUUGUACGCUUUGGAAACGGGAGGACUUGAGUGCAGAAGGGGAGAGUGGAAUUCCAUGUGUAGCGGUGAAAUGCGUAGAUAUAUGGAGGAACACCGGUGGCGAAAGCGGCUCUCUGGUCUGUCACUGACGCUGAGGCUCGAAAGCGUGGGGAGCAAACAGG